rnacentral:rRNA from 1 species
UACGUAGGGUGCGAGCGUUGUCCGGAAUUAUUGGGCGUAAAGGGCUCGUAGGCGGUUUGUCGCGUUCGGGAGUGAAAUCCACUGGCUUAACUGGUGGCUUGCUUUCGAUACGGGCAGACUGGAGGUAUGCAGGGGGAGAACGGAAUUCCUGGUGUAGCGGGUGAAAAUGCGCAGAUAUCAGGAAGAACACCAAUGGCGAAAGCAGCUUUCUGGGACGGUACUGACGCUGGAGAACGCGAAAGCGUGGGGGAGCGAACAGG